GCCUAAGUGAAGCUCAUACUGAAAAUGUUGUGCAUGUCAUGAAUGGGAAUGUUCCCGUCUCCUUAGAAGCCAUAGAUGAUCAACGGCGACUGAUCGUUCAAUUUGAUCUUCAAGAGAAGCAAUUUUAUCCUACAAGGCAUAGCAGUGGUAUUACAAGUAUAACCCGCACCUUUAUUUCAAGGCGAACACAUAUUCGAAAAUGGAAUUUCUCCAUUGUUUCACAGUUGAAGUUGCUUAAGGUGUUGGAUGUAUUUUCAAUUGAAUACGAUUUCUCUUGUGUAAUACCUCAACUUGUACAUUUGAGAUAUGUUGCUGCAAAAAUUGGGGAAACUUUUUCACUAGCCAAAUUGAGAAAUCUACGGACCAUAAGUUUUGAAAGUUUUCUAGGGACCAAGUUGAAGCGCCCGGUAGAUAUCUGGACAACAACGGAGAUUAGACAUGUGGAUAUUAGAUCACCACUCUAUAUAUCUAAUCCUCUUGAGGCAGAACAUCCUCUGUUCCUCAAUAACUUGCAAACACUCACUCUUCACUCUCUCCUUUUGCGGUAGAAAUCAUAAAACGAACUCCCAAUCUAAAAGAACUAAGGAUUUUACAUAAAGCUAAGCAUUCUGAUGGGCUUGCUAUUCUUGAUUCUCUCAGCCUUCUUGAGAAACUGGAGAAAUUACACCUAGAAGCACAACAAACCGUUAACCAGAUCAUGAUUUUCUCAGCGGAUAUUUUCCUUCCUAAUCUCAAGGAGUUGACAUUAUCAUUUACUUAUAUACCAUGGGAAGCUAUCAAUUUACUGGCUAAUUUACCCAAUCUUGAGGUGCUCAAAGGGUAUUCUGCAUUCGAUGGAACAGAUUGGAGACUAAAUGAAGAUGUUGUGUUUCGCAAAUUAAAACGUCUAUUACUGCAUAGGUGUAGAGAUCUACAAAAGUGGGAAGCUGGUAGUGAUAAUUUUCCGAUGCUUGAGCAACUAAUACUACAUUGGUUUAUUCAACUGGAGGAGAUUCCCGGGAGUAUUGGAGAUAUAAUGACACUAAAAUUGAUCCAAAUAGAAUGUUGCAGCUCUGGUAUAGAGACAAGUGCAAAGAAAAUUCAAGAAGAGCAACAAAGCUUCGGAAAUUAUGAGCUUCAACUUCAAAUUACUCCAAAGAAGGAAUGAAAGACGAAGAGAGAGAAGGGUACUUGAAGGAAGCUGGUGAUGAUUAUAUGCUUCCACAUCUUCUCAAUUUGGUGAAGCAGAUAAAAUCAUCAUUAUAUUCGCUUGGGAAGAUGUAGGGCUCUACAUAUACAGGGUUUUUAACGCGUCUAGUAAAAGUCGCAUUGACCUACUAGCUUAAGGCAGAGGAAUCUCAUAAAUUGAGCAGGCCAAAAUAUACUCAAUUAUUGAAAACUAUAAUAUGAUGUAAUAUCUAUGUAUUGAUGAUGUUAAAAAAAAAUUAAUUAUAUACAUUGACAAUAAUGUAUAAAAAUACUCCCUUACUAAUCCAGUUUGGACUUUGUAGA